UAACCACUCAAGUUUCGACUUGGUAUUGGGGUUCGCGGUUUCGCGGCCCUUAAAAUCAGUGGCGGUGCCGUCUGGCUCUAAGCGUAGUAAUUCUCUCGCUACAGGGUCCGGGUGGUUGCUUGCCAGAAUCCCCCACUUUUAUA
rnacentral:misc_RNA from 1 species